CUCCGCUAGUCCGCCUGCCUGACAUCGCUUCCUGUGCCAAAGCCGACGCCUACAAAAGCAACAAGAAAAAGCUAAAGCAAAACCGUCCCACGGCCUCCCCCUUCCUUCCUUCCUUCGGCUCCUCCGCCUAUCACGCCAGCCCCAACUCCCCUCGUCUCAUCUCAGGAAUCUCUCAAAUGAGAUACCUCGUACUACCACAACUAUAGUGUAGGAGAACUCGAUCUGCCCACCACCAGCUAGACCUUGGAAUCGAGGAGCGAGCCGAUCAUGCCGCCGCAAGCCACCGCCUCGCAGCAGGGAGACUGCUGCCGCCACGGCCAGCUCCCCCGCUGGCACGGCGACGCCGGCGCCGAUGCGCUGCCCUUCUACGUGCCGCUGCGCAAGCGCCUCUCCGUGGACGGCAAGUCCCCGGCGCCGCGGAUAUGCAUCUGGGAGUGCGACGGCGAGGCCGGCGACAUCACCUGCGACAUCGUCCCCGCGCCCUUCCGCCGCAGCUGCAGCGCCAGGAUGACGAUGCAGCCGCCGGCCCCCUUCUUCCGGACGAUGACGCCGCCGCCGCCGAGGCCACAGAGGGUGCUGGAGGAGGAGGAGCGGCAGGAGGCCAGGAGGCCUGGGAAGGCCAUCCGCAAGGGCCACCGGAGCUACGGCCUCAUGCUCAACCUGCAGCUCGGCAUAAGUUAUUCGGUGGGGAAGUCGUCGGCGCUGCCGUUCAAGAAGCUCUUGGCAUCGGACUUCGACCCGCGGGAGAAGGUCUGGACGCGGUUCCCGCCGGAAGGCUCCAAGCUCACGCCGCCGCAUCACUCAAUCGAUUUCCGGUGGAAGGACUACUGCCCUGCCGUCUUCAGGCACCUGAGGAAAUUGUUUGGGGUUGACCCUGCGGACUACAUGCUUGCAAUCUGUGGCAACGACACGCUCCGGGAGCUGGCGUCCCCCGGUAAGAGCGGGAGCUGCUUCUUCAUCACCCAGGAUGAUCGGUUCAUGAUUAAAACCGUGAAGAAGGCUGAAGUGAAGGUUCUUAUUAGGAUGCUGCGGAGUUACUAUGAACACGUUCGUCUGCAUAAGUCCACCUUGUUGACAAGAUUCUAUGGCACGCAUUGCAUUAAGCAAGUUGGAUGUCCCAAGGUCCGGUUCGUUAUAAUGGGCAAUUUUUGCUGCUCGGAGUAUAAGAUUCACAGGCGUUUUGAUUUGAAAGGUUCCUCACAUGGUCGGACUAUCGACAAAACGGAGCGAAAGAUUGACGAAACCACUACUCUGAAGGACCUCGAUCUUGAUUAUGCAUUUCGGCUGCAAAGAUUUUGGUACGAGGAACUUAUGAAGCAAAUUCAGAUGGACUGCGUAUUCUUGGAGACACAAGGAAUUAUGGACUACAGCCUAUUGUUAGGAGUUCACUUUCGUAAUGAUUUGUCUGUGUCUAAGAUAGGCCUCUCUCAGCCCAUUGCUCUGCCAAAAUCUACUGGCAAAAGAAAAUCAUUUGAAGGCGGAGGCAAUUUUUGUGAGCAAUGCUUUAUGGAAACAGGAUGCAAAGAGAGGGAUUUGAUCACAGAAUCCCGGAGGCCAUUUGUGCAGCUGGGCAUGAACAUGCCCGCCCAGGCAGAGCGCAGCUCGAAGAGAAUACUCGACAAGUUCCUUUUGAACGAGAGGCACCUGUUCAUAACAGCGCCGAGCGGGGGACCGUGUGAUGUCUACCUCUUCUUCGGAAUAAUCGACAUCCUACAAGACUACGACAUAACCAAGAAGCUGGAGCACGCCUACAAGUCUUUCCAGGUCAACCCUGGCCGCAUUUCUGCCGUGGAUCCCAAGCUCUACUCGAGGAGGUUCCAGGAUUUCAUUCGCAGGGUGUUCCUGAAACAACAGCAUUGAGGCUGAGAAGAAUGCACAGGGUCUAACUGACUUUUUACAUCUGGAGGAGUUUUUGCAUCAUGAGAUAGAUCCAUUGGUGAAUGAAGCUCAUGGCAUGAUGGCGUCGCUGAUCCCGAGCAUGCGCUGAAACAGUGCGGCUGGUGAGAGGUGGUUUGGCUUUGGCCAUUUCUCUUGUCUGAAUAGGCGGCUGCAAGGAGAUAGUAGUAGCUCUGCCGACAGGCAUGCUGAAACCGGAAGGAUGGGGGACGGAGCUAAACUACGGGCAUGCAAAGCUCCAUCUUUUGGAAGACUUGUGACUUUGCGGAGAGAGACUGAACCCAAUUUUUUUUCUCUGGGAUUCAUUCUUGGUGUGAUGUGCUGAAUGCGGAUAGCACAGGAGCGGUCGAGUGGGAAUCAAUCAGGCCUUGUACAUGUUCACGUUAUCGUGUAGUACCAAGACAACUAUUGUUGGACUGAAAACUGAUGCAUCUUGUCGAAAUUCAGAAAAAGGAACCAGGAUGUCCAUCCAUCUCGCCUUCUUGCAGCUCUCGCCUUUGCUUGCAGAUGCAGAUGGCCAAUCUCGUCGGCCGUCCGGUUGAAUUUUCAGGAGACGUCUCAUUCGUGGUUCAGAGAAAAGAAGCUGUAGACAUUGUUGCCCUCUUUGCAAGCAUUUGCAGGAAGCCUAUCUUCUGCCUUGACCACAGUCGACUAGAGAGGCAGUGUCAUUUG